CUUUCAAGGUCUUCCUUGAAGGUAGCCAAUCACGCAAACAGAAUGCAUUUCGUAAAUCGCAAUUCGCAAGUGCAUGAACUAGGCUUUAACAAUUUCAAGAUAAAUACAUAAAUUGGUGGUAGAAUUCAUAUCGACAUGAUUUUUGGAUAUAAACUUGAGGUAAUGGUGUGGAUCCGGUGGCUGACCUUGAAGCCCAUAUUUGCUGCAUUUGAUCACAGAUACUACGCAAGCGCACAACGUCGACGUUGUCAAGUCGCAGAUUAUUUUCAAAUUAUUUUCAGUAGAAAACAUAUGUUUUUUGAGUGUUCAAAUAAAGUAAUAAUACAAAUUCUAUGAUUAAUUUUAUAAUUUAAGAUUUAUCUUGAUAUCAAAAAUUUAAGCAACAACGAUAAUAGAGACUUUGAAGUUAAGGUAUUAUGAUUGUAAUCGGAGUUAUAAGUAAUAUUAUCUCAUUUAUUUAUAUAUUUGCAUUAGAAGUAAAAAUUGUAAUAUACGGAUUUUUUCUUAUUGAUUUUAAACCUUUUAGAAUUAUAUUUGUAUUAUCAAUAUGAUGACAUUUAUUAUAUCCAUGUUGUUUAACUUCUAGUUAUUUACAGGCAACAAUAGUUUUGAUUAUAUGUAUGGAAGUACCUACUACCAUAACGAAGACCUAGGAUACUUCAAAUACCAAUUUGAUAAUUUUUAAAGACAUAAAUUACAAUGAUAAAACUUAGUAAAGAGGUAACAGGGUACCUAUUCUUACCCAAUAUGCUUUAAUCUAUGAGUCUUAAGGGGUGAGCAGUAUUCCAUCCCGUGAUUGAUAUUCCAGGAUAAGAUUGAAGGACAUAGAGGACAUGGAAUAAGGAGACCGCGCUCAUGCCUGCGUAACAUGAAUCAGGGAUUUGUAUGAUGCGAAAACAUUGUUUGCAUUGUUGCACUUACUUACAACAGUUGACCCAACGUACUAUAGCAUAUUAUGGGACAUGAAGAAUAGCAUAAUACAUAUCAAUGAGAUAGAGAUAUGCUAAGAACAUCACAUAAAUUCGAUUUAAGAAUAGAAAAAUCUUUAGGUAGCAGAAAUAUUAAUGCAUGUCUAAGCAAGAUUAAAUAAGGUAAUUAUUAACGUUGCUGAUUAUAAACAUGAUAUGGAACUACAGCAUUUAAAAAUUUUCAAAAAAAAAGAAGAAACUUUGACACACCCCUUUUAAAUUUUUGAAUUUUAAUAAAGCACUUUUUAAACGAUGCUUAA